rnacentral:rRNA from 1 species
AGGGUGCAGGGCGGAUGCCUUGGCACUAGGAGCCGAUGAAGGACGUGAUAAGCUGCGAUAAGCUUCGGGGAGUUGCACGUAAACUUUGAUCCGAAGAUUUCCGAAUGAGGAAACUCACUUAGAGUAAUGUCUAAGUAUCAUUAAGUGAAUACAUAGCUUAAUGAGGGGAACUCAGGGAACUGAAACAUCUAAGUACCUGAAGGAAGAGAAAGAAAUUCGAUUCCGUAAGUAGCGGCGAGCGAACGCGGAUUAGCCCAAACCAAUAAAGUUUUCUUUAUUGGGGUUGCGGACAUAUCAUAACGAAGAGGUAUCGUAAUUGAAGAGGUUUGGAAAGACCCACCACAGAAGGUAAUAGUCCUGUAUGUUAAACGAGAAGACUUCAGAUAUGAUCCAGAGUACCACGGGACACGUGAAACCCUGUGGGAAGCAGGAGGGACCACCCUCCAAGGCUAAAUACUACCUAGUGACCGAUAGCGUAUAGUACCGUGAGGGAAAGGUGAAAAGAACCCCGGGAGGGGAGUGAAAUAGAACCUGAAACCCUGCACUUACAAGCUGUGGAAGCACAUUUCUUGUGUGACCGCGUACUUUUUGUAGAACGGGCCAACGAGUUACGUUAAGUAGCAAGGUUAAGCACUUAAGGUGUGGAGCCGUAGCGAAAGCGAGUUUUAACUGAGCGUUCAGUUACUUGACGUAGACCCGAAACCGGGCGACCUACCCAUGAGCAGGAUGAAGCGAAAGUAAAAUUUCGUGGAGGUCCGAACCCACGAGCGUUGAAAAGCUCGGGGAUGACUUGUGGGUAGCGGUGAAAUUCCAAUCGAGCCCGGAGAUAGCUGGUUCUCCCCGAAAUAGCUUUAGGGCUAGCCUCAAGGUGAGAGAUACGGAGGUAGAGCACUGAAUGUCCUAGGGGGUAUUGCACCUACCGAAGACUAUCAAACUCCGAAUGCCGUCAUCUUAUACUUGGGAGUCAGACUGUGGGUGAUAAGAUUCAUAGUCGAAAGGGCAACAGCCCAGAUCGUCAGCUAAGGUCCCUAAAUGUAAGUUAAGUGGUAAAGGAUGUGGGAUUGCACAGACAACCAGGAUGUUGGCUUAGAAGCAGCCACUCAUUCAAAGAGUGCGUAAUAGCUCACUGGUCGAGUGAUCCUGCGCCGAAGAUUUCCGGGGCUAAAACUUACUACCGAAGCUACGGCAUCAGUAAUGAUGGGUAGGGGAGCUUCCCAUACGGGUUGAAGCAUGACCGUAAGGACAUGUGGACAGUAUGGGAGUGAGAAUGUUGGCAUGAGUAGCGAGAUGUGGGUGAGAAUCCCACAGGCCGUAAACCCAAGGUUUCCAGGGGAAGGUUCGUCCGCCCUGGGUUAGUCGGGACCUAAGCUGAGGCCGAAAGGCGUAGGUGAUGGACAACAGGUUGAUAUUCCUGUACUACCGAUAACCGUUUGAGAGAAGGGAUGACACAGUAGGAUAAGCUAAGCACACUGUUGGUUAUGUGUGCCCAAGCAUUGAGGCAGUCAAAGUAGGCAAAUCCGCUUUGAUAAUGCUGGGAUGUGAUGGGGAGCGAAAUUUAGUAGCGAAGUAGCUGAUUUCACACUGUCAAGAAAAGUCUCUAUCGAGGUUAAAGGUACCCGUACCGCAAACCGACACAGGUGGGUGAGGAGAGUAUCCUAAGGCCAGCGAGAGAACUGUUGUUAAGGAACUCGGCAAAAUGACCCCGUAACUUAGGGAUAAGGGGUGCCACCAUCAGGUGGCCGCAGAGAAUAGGCCCAAGCGACUGUUUACCAAAAACAUAGGUUUCUGCUAAGUCGCAAGACGAUGUAUAGGAGCUGACGCCUGCCCGGUGCUGGAAGGUUAAGGGGAUCUGUUAGAGCAAUCGAAGCAGUGAACUUAAGCCCCAGUAAACGGCGGCCGUAACUAUAACGGUCCUAAGGUAGCGAAAUUCCUUGUCGGGUAAGUUCCGACCCGCACGAAAGGCGUAACGAUUUGGGCACUGUCUCAACAACAGACUCGGUGAAAUUGUAAUUCCGGUGAAGAUGCCGGAUACCUGCGACAGGACGGAAAGACCCCAUGGAGCUUUACUGUAGCUUGACAUUGGGUCUUGGUACUACAUGUACAGGAUAGGUGGGAGGCUUUGAAACCAGGACGCCAGUUUUGGCGGAGCCAUCCUUGGGAUACCACCCUUGUAGUACUGGGACUCUAACCAUAGGCCAUGAAUCUGGUCUUGGGACACUGUCA